UAAAGACAACCUUAGAAAGUUUGAUUUCAUAUCACAACAGUUCACUUUCAUUGGAUACUCUGAAAGAUCUAAAGCUUAUAGAGUAUUUAAUAGGGAAACUCAUAUUGUAGAAGAGACAAUACAUGUUAAAUUUGAUGACAAACACCUUGACCUUAAAAAUUGAAAGCAAAUUGAUGAUAGUUCAUGUUUACUAGAACCAUAGGAAGCAAAUGAAGACAAACCAGAAGAACCUGAAAAAUCAGAGAAUACAACUAAUUAGAAGAAGAAGAUAAAUCGUUAAAGGAUGAAUCCGACAAAUUCAGAAACAGUCAACAUAAGUCAGAAAGGAGAUCUGGAUGGAAGUACAAGUCAUCCCAUCCUGAAACUCUAACCAUUUGAAAUGCAAUUGAUCCUUUAAAGACUAGAUCAUCACUAAAAGACAAAACUUUAUUUGGACUACUAUCAUCAAUUGGACCUACAUAUGUUGAUGAAGCACUGGCAAAUGAUGGAUGGAUCCUGGCAAUGCAAGAAGAGUUAAAUGAAUUUUAAAGGAAUGAUGUUUGGGAUCUACUACCUAGACCAAAGAAAACCAUUAUUGGAACCAAGUGGGUUUUCAUAAACAAACUAAAACAAAAAGGAGAAGUGGUCAGAAACAAGGCAAGACUUGUCGCACAAGGAUACAGUCAGCAAGCGAGCAUUAAUUACACUAAGAAAUUUUCUCCAAUGACCAGGUUAGAAGCUAUUUGUAUCCUACUUUCUUUUGUUGCAAAUAAUAACAUUACAUUAUUUUAAAUGGAUGUUAAAAGUGAAUUUCUAAAUAGGUAUAUUAGUGGAGAAGUCUAUUUUAAGCAACCCCCAUGUUUUAAAGUUAUGAAUUUCCAGACCAUGUAUUUAAACUUAGGAAAUAAAUGUAUGGUCUAAAACAAGCACCUAGGGCAUUCUAUGAUAGACUAAGCAGCUUCUUUCUUAAAAAUAAUUUUGAAAGAGGACAAGUAACUUCAUACCUGAUAUUAUGUUUAUUGUGUGUAUGUGUGCAAAAUUUCAAGUUGAUCCAAGGGAAUCUCAAUUAACAGUUGUUAAGAGAAUCCUUAUAUACUUAAAAGGUGCUACCAACCUUAACUUGUUCUACAAGAAAUCUAUUGGGUACAAAUUAAGUGGCUAUUGUAAUGUUGAUUAUGUUGGAGACAAAGUUGAGAGAAAAAAACACAAGUGGAAAAUGCACAUUUCUUGGUGAAAACUUAAUCUCAUGGUCAAGUAAGAGACAAACCACAAUUUCAAUGCCAACAACAGAGGUUGAGUAUAUUUCAGCAGUUGGUUGCAGUUCUCAUUUGCUACGGAUGAAACAUCAAUUGGAAGCUUACAAGAUUCUUGAGAGUAACAUUCUCAUAUUCUAUGAGAAUACUUCUGCCAUUUUCCUAACCAAGAACCCAAUCCUACAUUCUAGAUCCAAACACAUAGAAAUCAAACAUCACUAAUCAAACAUCACUUCAUUAGGUACUUUGUUCAAAAAGGAGUACUAAAUAUCUAGUUUGUAGAUACUAAAUACCAACGGGCUGUCAUAUUCAUCAAACCACUAACUGAAGAUAGAUUUGACUUUAUAAGGAAAAUAUAAACCAUACAUUUAUACCUGAAGGAAGUUUUUUCCAUGCUUAGAGUAAUUUAGAUUCAUACUAGGACCAGGUUAUGUUUUGUUCAUAUUAGGCUAUGUUUUAUUUUCUGUUCAUUAUAUUAAAAAAAGGGCAAAUACGUAAAAUAAAGUUUGACUUUCAAGUCUUUUUGUCUGAUGACAAAAGGCGGAGAAAGAUAUUUCAGAACAAUAAUGAAAAAAUUACUUUGAUUAGAGGGAGCCUUAAGCUAGAGGGAUUCACGUAAUAAAACAAAAAUUGUGAUAAAAAAUACAGUUUUGUCAUCAACUAAAAGGGGGAGGUUGUUGAAACCAACUUGGUUUUUCACUUAUAGUUUUGAUGUUGACAAAAGUAUUUUAUAAGAAUAAAUAAUUUGGAUUAAUGGCUUCAUUGUGUGUGCAAAGAUGGGAAUAAGAACAUCAGAAAAAGGUACUAGUGGAAGCAACCAGAACAAGUGAUCAGAGGAAGUCACCAGAGGAAGUGACUAGAGGAUGAGAUCAGAUGAACAUAAAGUAUACGCGUCUGCCUCUGAACAUAUACCUCUGAAGGUUACAAAGCUUUCCUCUGAUGUAUGGGUCUAAAGUAUGUGUUUGAUGUUUGGGUCUGAAGACUAGGUCUGAUAACUUGGUUUGGAAAAUGCCUCAAAAUAAUGGCUUUAAAGAAACACAUCAUCUACUCCAAUAAGAAAGUCAACGCCUUUGAUGGAAAGUCAACGACUAAAAUUGAAAGAAUUAAGUAUAAAAAGAAGACUUAGCCGAAUUAAAAACUUGUGAAGAUCCAGAAACAACCUGAAUUCAUUCCAGCUCAAAUAAAGCAAAAGAAUAAAGCAAGAUUCGUAUUUUUGAAGAUAAUCUAAAAUAAGAUUUGAUUAAUAUUUAUAAUUGAAGAAAAUCUUUGACCAAGUUGAAAAGAAGAUAUUGUUAAGAUUUAAAGAAGAUUUGAUCAAGAUUUAUCACAAGAAGAUAUGAAUUAUUUACAAGUUUGAUCAAGAUUUAUCUAUAAGAAGAUAUGAAUUGUUUACAAGAAGAUUUAAUCAAGAUUUAUCUACAAGAAUAUAUGAAUUAUUUACAAGAAUAGUUGAUCAAAAUUUACAAGAAGAUGUGAUCAAGAAUUGUAUACAAGAAGAAACACUCACAAGAAGAUACAUUUAUUAUUUGCAAAGAUAUGAUUCAUAUUUUGCAAAAAGACAAAGGAUAAACCCUAACCUAUUCUAUAAAUAGAUACUCAAGGUUGAAGAAGAAAAUAAGAGAACUCACAAGCAGUUCAUAAGGUUAAGAUCUAGAGAAACAAUUGCUCAAUAGAAAUAUUUUCUAAUUGUUUUCUAGUAUGAGAGUCAUUGUUACAAUCAGCUUGGUAGAAGCAAACCAAUUUGUUUCAAACUCUUAUUACCCAGUUCAAUAGUGGCUUUUAUGUUCCUUAAGAUAUUUGUAGGUUUUCAAGUUGUGUUGAGAAGACUUGACUUGUAGAGUCAAGAUGUUUGUGUUCCUCAAAAAGUAUGUAGGUUUUAGGUUGUUUUGAGAAAACUGGCGUGUAGAGUCAGGUGCAGUGUAAUUCUAGUUUUGAAUUAGUUGAUUAAAUCCUUCUGAGUAAGGGGAUUGGACGUAGCUACCAAGUUGGUUGUGAUCGAGGAUAAAUUAUUGUGUGGCUUUAAUUAUGCAUAUCUUGUUUUACUUCUUGUGAUAAAUCUUGAUCAAAUCAUCUUGUAAAUAAUUCAUAUCUUCUUGUAAAUAAAUCUUGAUCAAAUCUUCUUGUAAAUAGUUCAUAUCUUCUUGUGAUAAAUCUUGAUCACAUCUUCCUUAAAUCUUGAUCAUAUAUCCUUUUCAACUUGUUCAAAUAUUUUCUUCCAUUAUAAAUCAGAAUCAAAUCUUAAUUUAGAUUGUUUUCAAAAAUAUGAAUCUUAUUUCAUACUUUGUGAGUCAAAUAUAUUGUUAUCAUAAAAUAAUUUUGUUAACAUCAAAACUCUAAGUAUAAAACCAACUUGGUUCCAACAGUGACUCUAUGCCUCUGAUAUAAGUAUACCUUUGAUUAUGUUACCUCGAGUAAGAAUAAGUUCUGAUGAUUAAUGUGAGCUAUAAUAUGAUACUCUGAUUUUAGAAAUGUAAUGUUGAAUGAAGUUAAUAAUAUUUAUUCAAUUGAAGAUUGAGAUCUACAUUGCAUAAAUGAUGUGAAAAUAUGUUGCAUUUCAUAAACAAGAUUUUGAUAUGUAUAUUAUGGUGGGACAUUUCAGCUUUGUUUCAGGCCAGAAACAACGUGUAAAGGUAUAUCAAUUGAGACGUCAAUUUGAGUCUAGGCCAGACCACUUAUGCAUUAGACUCCAAUUACUUAGAUUACCCACAACUGAGUAGUUGGAGGAGUUUUUCCUUAUAAAAGGAAUUGAAAAUCAUCAAGUUUUUCCUUAUAAAAGGAAAUGGAAAUUAUAAAGCUUUUCUAAAUUAAGAAAAUAAGGAGAAAGGCGAAUCUAUAGUGUUUCCACGCUUAAGUAAAAGAAAAGAUUUUAAAUGUUUGGCCUAUGGCUAAUUAAAAGCAUUGCAGAAUCAUGUCAAUCUUCCAUUAUUUUCUUAAGAAAAAUUAUUCAAAUUAUCAUCCCCUUUUAUAGAACUCACUGAGAUUAUUAUCUCACCCUUAUUUUCUUAUGUAUUAUAAUAGAGGAAACGAAGUACAACUGGAGUCAGAGCCAGAGGAUUGCAUUUAGUAUUUAUAUUUUGUUUACAAAGUAACAUGUGAUGUAAUUUUGGUAUUUUAAAUGAUGAUUGUAAACUAUAAAUUUGUAGUUACAAUUUAUUUUGUUGAUUGUAUCUUGUAGGAUUUUAAAAUCACUUAUGUUAUCAAAAUGUAUGAAUUAAAUAUCAUAUUAUAGACAAUUAGUGUUGGUCAUUACAUUGAGAAAUUACUAAAAAAAUUGUUUGAAAUUCUGAAUUAAAUAAAAUCAUGAUACAAAUAAUUUUAUGACAUCCUUGAUGUUAUUAAGUGGUGGUAUAAUUUCUGUCAAAAAACCAUAAUUAAAUUUUUUUUCCGUAUUAUGAUAAUCAAGUGAAUUAUACUUGAUAUUUAAUUUUCAAACGAACUCAGACUUCGAUAAAAACUUUUAUUAUUUAUUUGUGAUUUGAUUGAGGGUGGAUUUAUAUAUUAUUUUAUGAUCGAAUCAUUUUGAUGAUGAAAAUUAUAAUUAAUUGUAUUUUGAAUUCACAACUUGUUUAUAUGCUAGUGAAGCGAUUUAAAUUCAUCUAGAUGAAAUUAUAUUUUCAAUUUAUUAUAUUUUAUUAAGUCACGGUUGAGAUAUUGCGGGAAAUCUCUUUACGAAACCUCUCUGUGUUUUGAACUGUUGAUCAAUUUUUUAAUUGUCGAGAAAAAAAAAUCAAAUAAACUCAAUUCAAUUUUAGCUUGGAUUAAUAUUCCUAGUUAGAAUAAGGGCAAAAUGACCAACCUAGCCAUAAUCAAAAGGAGAAAAUGACUAACCAACCCUUACAAUAAAGCCAAACUUCCAAAAAACCAAUAGCCCCUCCCCCCCAUAAGAUGUACAUUUUUUCCCUCGCUGUUGUUUCUCAUUAAAUACUCUCUUAUUUAUUCAUUUCUCAUGUUAGAAACUUAGUGUAUUUGAGAUGUUUGGUUGUGAGUCUUUUUCUUCUUUCUUUUCCUUUGUUCAUGGCAAAAAAUGAGUGUGUUUGUUUGUGGUAAAGAACAUUAAUUUCUUUCACCAACUUUAUCUCUUGUUCAUAAUAUUAUAAUUGUCCUUUCAUUUUAUUGUUGUUAUAUUUCUUGUUGUUACUAAUUUUUUGCUACUAUUUUGUUGUUGCUUAGUUUAUGUUCAUAAAAAUUUCAAACACUUUGUUUAAUUUUAUGUUUAUAAAAGUUGUAAGCUCUAAAGUUAUAUUCAAGUUAAUGAAGAUUUCAAGCACUUUGUCUAUGUAUAAGCUCAUAAAGAACCCAAGCUUUAUGCUUUAUGCUCAAGAGCUAGACUCAAAGUUUAAGCUUGUGUUAAAGUUUAUUUUGUAAUAAAGUUACAAUUUUUUCUAGGUUUAAUGAUUAAAACUUUAUGUUCCAAAGUGUAUUGGGACCAAGAUAUCAUUUUACCUUUAAGAGUAAGAAGAUCUUGAUUUUGGUACGGCUCUAUUAUUGACUUCCUAAAGUUUUGGAAAUAAACUAAGAAAAGAACUUUAAGGACACAUGACAUUUUAUUUUUAAGAGAUUAGAACCAAGAAAAGAAGUGAAAUAAAUUUUCCCCUUAAAACCCAUCAUGGCAGUGACCUAUCAGGAAAAUAGCUAGGAUGCAUACUAAUGCUUGAUGAUGUGUAUUUUUGUGUUGAAAGUGUGAAUCUCGGUUUUGACUAUGUUUGGUAUUUUGAUCAUAAGCUAAGUGUAUUCAUCCUUUUUGAAUGGUUCUUGUUUGAAUGGAAAUUAGACUCAUUUCCCUGCAUUUUGAGCACAAGCUUUACAAAAUGUGAAGAAAUUUUGAUAUUUGAAAUAGGACCACAAGUCAUCAAACAGUAAGUUGUCUAGUUUUGAACACCUGAGAAUUUCUUCUAAAUUUUGUAACAAAUGGUUUACUAUUUUUAAACUUAAAACAAUUAUUUGAAAACUAGACAUCCCAUGUUCUCCAGGGAAUGGUCAUUUGCAAAAUUUGAACAUUUUUUACUAUUUUAAUAAAAUUGGUAAAGUUUGUGCUAAUAUGUAGAAAAUUGUUAGAAAUGAUGAAAUAUUAAAGUAUGCUACUAUCUUACUUAUAUUUUCAUACAAGUUGUAAAAUGAUUUCUAUUAUUGAAAUAUGACGUUUUCAGCUAUGAAUUUUCUUAGGGGUGAGCCUAGUAUGUGUGGGAGAAUUUUGAAACAAAAGCUUGUCCAAAUAGAAAACCAAGUUGUGAACCUUCCAUUUGUGGGGAGGACAAGUUUCAAGUCUUUGAAUACUAACUUAUUUAAAUUAGUGCUUUAAUUUUAUGAGAUUGAAAGUAUUAAGUAUAUUCUUAAAAGUGGUAGAGUUGUGGCUAUGAAUUCUUUAAAAGAUUAUCCAAUUACACGUUAAAGAAAUUUUGAAACAAAGAUAUGUCCAAAAAGGAAUUGAGUUGUGAACCUCCUAUUUACGGGGAGGACAAAUUUCAUAUUUUUGUGUACUAAAUAAUGGGUUUUAAUUAUGUAGUGUUUUGUUAAACUUUAUGAAUUCUAAAAUAGAGAUUUUUUAGUGUUUAUAAAUUUACAAGUUGAGAGUUUAAGUCCCAUAAGUAUUAAAUAAGAUGUUGUGAUUUGAAGGUGCAAACUUAGUAGAUCAUGGGCAUGCGAGAUAUUUUUAAGUAAUUUAAGAAAAACUUCAAGAGGUAAGGGCACCUACUAGCACACGAAAAACACAAUUAUACGUGUUUGGAUUGUUUAUGUAAUUAUCAUUUGAUUGUGAUUGUUUGUAUUCCAUGGUUGGUGCAUAUAUGCUUUGAUGUCUUACCCCUAUAUGUUUUAUGGUACUCACAUGAUUUAAUACACACAAUGUUAUAUAUGUAUGUAUGGAUGUGUAUAUUAUUGUGGAUUUAUUUUUUUAUGAGAGUUUGCAUUUUAAUCAUUAUCAUAUGAAUUUUAUUGAGAAAGAAUGCAAUUUUUUAGAUAUGCAUGAUAUGAUGAUAAUUGAAGUCAGUGAAUAUGUUCAUGCAUACAUGGGCCUUAGUGGUGAUCUAUGAUAGAUACCACAAAUUCUUGCGGGAAUUUAGCGUUAGUGGUGAUCGGUGAUAGAUUCCAUAAUCCUUGUGGGGAUAUGAUAGUAUUGUUUUGAGAGAACUUUACAAUAAUUUAGUGGUGGUAUGUGAUAGAUACCAUGAACCCUUGCAGGGUGUAUUCUAGAAUCAUGUGCAUUGGCAUAUAGAUGUCGUGCAUUAUAAUUAUCUUUUUUUAUGUGAUAAUUAUUUUAACAGUAUUAUUUUGUGUUAUUUUUGUUUGAUGACCUUUGCACAUGUUUUUGUUUGAGAUGAUUGCCACAUUUGACCAGAUGACAGUGAUAUUAAAAGUAGUUGAUGCAAAUUAGUAGUCAAGCUCUUUAUGUUAGGUGCUAGUCCUACAUCUAGCUGGAAGGAUAUCUCUAGCCACUCUCCAAAGAAAAUCCUUCACACAAUUUGUGGCCUUGACCUUCCAUAAUGAUUUCCAAAGAGUUUGGUCACCUGAUGAUGAGGUCUCUAGUUUUAAGAACCCUUCUUUCAGACGCUAUAAUCUUUGCUUGGUUGCCCAUUAAUAAGAAAUUGGUAAGACAUCCACGAGAUCCAGUCCAUAAUGGCCCUAGACAGAUUGGGAGGAAAACUGUCAUGACCCAAAAACUAAACGCCGUGACCGGCGCACAAGCUAUACUCAUAGUCUGGCAAAUAUAUCAACUAACUUAACUAUAAAGAGACUAAUUAGUCCUCGAUAAUCAUUUCCAAACGAUAUAUAAUUUUUCUCAAAAUUUCGAUAGAUUACCCUCUGUAACUUCAACUUUCCCAAAUUUAGAAAAUUUCUGUUUAACUUUCAAUUCAGUCAUAAUCCCAAGAGCAUAAUCUAAUUGUUUAAUACAUUUCCCAAAAAGACUUUUUAGACUCAAAAUAGUUGCAAAUUACAUCAUAACUCAAUAGACUUUACAAAAAAUAGGUCAACGAUCAAAGAGGCCUACCAAAACAAAUAUGAUCAAAACUUGAAUCUACUAACAUAAGGGAAACACAAAAAGACACAAAGACUUGAGUUGUGAGCUUAAUACUCAGUUGCAUGCGAAUCUGAAAAAAUUAAACACCAUGAAGGGGUAAGUCACAAAGACUUAGUGAGGAGACAACAACAACCAUCAACUAGAAGGGAAACACAAAAAGGAACGAAUAACUUUUUUACAAUCUUGUGGCGAUUAUGUUAUACACAUAAUAAAAUCAUUAAACUUAUAAUUUAGUUGUUUAGAUAGAAAUAUUAAAAAUUCAAUUAAUAGCGAAGCGAAAUCAAAAUGAAUAAACUUAAAAUCAUCAUAAAAAUCAAACAAGUAAAAAUACAAAUUUUUGAGAACCAAGAGGUGGCUUCAUCUCAUUUAUAGCCCUUUCCUCCUAAGGGUGGCCUUUCCCUUAGGGGUAGCUCCAUCUAACGGAUAGCCCUCUCCUCUCAAUCCCGCAACGCAUCAUCACACAUCAAUCAGGGAGCUUACAUCUCGUUGAUAGCUCUCUCCUCCUAUGAAUGACAUUUUUCAUAGGGGCGGCUCCAUCUAACGGGUAACUCUCCUUAAUCAAAACGAGUUAACUAGGUGCACCUACUGCCAUUAACGAUUUCACAAUUUUAACAACGAUUUUCACAACACAUAUUUAAAACCCAUAAAUAAAUCAAACUACAAACAUAUCACAUAACAAAGACCAUAAAAAUAAUUAAGGAUAAAAUCGAGAAAAUAUCAAAGGUUGUGUUCCCCAAUUUUUUAAUAAAUAUUUUAAUAUAGAAAUUAUAGUAUUAUAAAAUAUAUGACAUGAUCGUCGUCUACUCACAACUAUGAAGAGUCGACUACGUUUGUUCUCCAACAACUCCCAGAAUAGCCGGCAGGACCUCAGCUAACAAAUCUGAGUAUCAAAAAUAUUCUCAAAACUUUAGAAAAAUUAUUCUAAAGUUUAGCUAAUUCUAAGAAACCAUAAAAAUCAUUUAAAUCUACUCUAGGCACAAAAUAAGAUUUUUAAACAAAACUACAUUUUUCUAGAGAUUCAUAUUAGCAUUAGAGUUGUGUAUUUAUUUCAAAUAGUCUCAAUAAAUAACUCUCAAGAAAUGCGUACCAUUCUCCUUCCUUAGAACACAAACCCUAACCAAAAAUCCUAAACAAGAGAAUUUGUAAGAGUAUGACAAAUUAUAUUCUUGAGGAUAUUAUAUUUAUUAUAAGGGUUGAAGGUUUACGUGUUGUAGAUGAGAAGAAACAAGGAGAAAAAAAGAAGAAAAAAAGACAAAAAAAAAAAAAAAUGGGAGAAGGGGUUGUCUUGGCCAAGAGAGAGAAGAAAGAGGAGAAGAAUGAGAGAGUGAGAUAGAGAGAGAAUGAGAGUGGAUGGUUGAUGUGUUUUAUUUAUUUAUUUAUUUAUUAUUAUUAUUAAUUAAUUAAUUAAUUACUAUUAUAUAUUUUUUUAAAUGACACGUGGCGUGUCAAAACCCUUAAGCCACGAGAACCUCAUUUAUGAGGUUUUUUUUUUUGAGUACCCUCUUUCUGAAAAAAAAAAUUCACAAAUGCCCGCUUUUGAAAACUAUAUACCUAAAUGCCCCCCUUUUUUUUUACUUACAAGUCGCCAUUUGGAAUGGCAACUUCCUUAAGGAAGCCCAAGUUCCAAAUGGCGACUUCCCACUUGAUUUUUUUUUAAAAAAAAAAUUCAAUUUUUUUUUUAAUUUUUAAUAGAUAACAUAAAUAUUAUAUAUAUAAUUAAUUAACAUAGAAAUUUUAAAUUAAAAAAUAUUUUACCAGAUGGAUUCCCCUCUUUAGCACUCACACAAUAAAUGCGUCCUCUAGCAGUAGGACGGGUAGCUCUAGCUACAUUCACAACUGGUUCCACCUUUGGAGCCGUGCAAUCCUUCGCCAUGUGUCCUGGAUUCUGACAAGUGUAGCAGGUGAGAGUGUUAGGGGUACAAGCGUUAGCAUAAUGUUCCUCUUCCCCACAACGGAAACAUCGGACCACUCGUCCCAGUUGUCUCCUGAAAUUCUGGUUCCCCGGGCGAUUCUUCCCACCGUUGUUAGUUCGUGGUCGAUCAUAGGGUUUAGCAACUUGUUUCCCCUUGUUGUUCUGGUAAUUCACCCGACUAGGCCCUCCUGUACCAAAAUUCCCUCCUCGGCUAGCUCUCUUAUUCUUCAUAUCCUCAACUUCCCUAAACUUUUCCACAAGGGCUUGGAAAUGUUGGAUUCCCAAGGGUAAGACGGAGUCUUGAAUCUCAUACUUCAGUCCGUCUUGGAAACGAUGACACAUGAAUGGUUCAUCAAUUUCUUCACGGAAGAACCUGAAAUGCCUCGAUAGCGAUUCAAGCUUAGCAGCAUAUUCGCCCACGGUCAUGCUCCUCUGGUGAAGUUUCAGAAAGUCGUCACCCAGUUUAGUCCUGGUACUCAUCGGGAAGUAUUUGUCUAAAAACUUCCUUUUAAAUGAUUCCCAGUUCACCUCCUCGUGGGCUGCUCCCAUCAAUAACCUUGCACUCCUCCACCAGUACUCAGCAUCCCCCAACAGCAUAUAAGUGGCAUAGCUGACCUUCACCCCCGCCUGACACUUUAUCAUAUCAAAGAUCUUCUCCACUUCUUGGAUCCAUUGAUCCGCCUUCUCUGAACCCUCAUCCCCUUUGAACUUAGGAGGAUUGUAACGACGGAAGUCUUCUAACCCUCUUGACUCUGCAGCACGGAUCUCUCUCCCCCUCUUUUCAAGACCCCGUUGAGUCUUGGCAGCAGUCUGUGCAGCCACAGAAGCAGCCAUGUUAUUCAUAGCCUCCGCCAUUUGAUCAUUCCUAUUAGCGUUGUCUCUCGGAGCGUCAUUCCUUCUUGGCGGCAUGGUUUCCUAUAAAACCAUCAUCAAGUAGAGUCUUAACACUACUUCAAAAUAUUCCCAAACUCACGUCCGACUAUAACAACACAUAAUAAUCAUAUUGGACUUGACAACUCAAGUCACCUAAACCGACACAUGAUCAGAUGACAACUCCCAACUUAAAGGUCGACCUACAAUCCUAGAAUCUAUAACCAAGGUUCCACAGCUCCCAAAGAAAACCAAACCAAAGCUCUGAUACCACAUUGUAACGCCCCGUUUUUCAAAAGAAAUUAAACUGAAACAGAGAAAUAAACAAAAAAAUGUCUUUGGAUAAAUAAUUGAGUCAUUAUAAUUUACAAGCAGCGGAAAAGUUUCUCCAAAUAUAAAUCCAAAGCAUUUACACAACAACAAAUGGUACAUGGGAUCCAUUCUUAAUAUGAUGUCAAACUGACAAUAUUAGUAUAGUACAGUUUUUCCAAAUCAAAAUAGACACCUAGUUCCUAUACAUCAUCCUAAUCUGAUCAUCCUACCAAAAAGCUAUACACCCUGAGUAUCUCCACGCGCCCCGUGAGAUCCUCCUAAUGUAACUGCAAUCACGCGUUCCCAUCUCCAUUCCCGUUCGUAGGGUACGAACCGGUAGGAUCGUCCUGACUCUCAUCUAAGGGCAAAGCCCAGAUUUCCACAAUAAUUGUAAAGGGUCACCAACUGAAAUUAACAGAUAACACAUAACAUUUAAGUUUUAAAUGCACAAAAUAACCUUUCAACUAAGCAUGCACCUUAAAAGGAUUUUCCAUAUGCUAAAAGUUCAUAUAAUGCUUGCCAAUUAACAAUGAACUCAAAAUGAAGUUCUCAAACCAUCAAGUAACAAUAAACUCAAAAUGAAGUUCUCAAACCAUCAAGUAAUACAUAACUGACCAAAGCAUUGAUAAAUCAAUUGAGCAAUCGAUUAUCUAACUCAAAAUAAGGACUUUUGUUGAGCCAAUCGAUUGCCAAAUCAAUUUGGUCAGUUCUGCUGAGUUUCUGCAUGACCAAAUCGAUUUCUAAGUCGAUUUUGUCAGUUCUGAUGAGUCCCUGUGUUGCCAAAUCGAUUUCCAAAUCGAUUUGGGCAGUUUUGCUGAGUUCCUGCCUCUCUGCCAAUCGAUUUCCAAAUCGAUUUCUUAAAAGAUUUUGAAAGACAUAUUUAUACAAUCGAUUGGCAAAUCGAUUAGGUCAAAAUGGUGAACUUCCUGCAACUCAUCCAAUCGAUUGGGAAAUCGAUUUCCCUCAUCAUUUUUCCAAAAAUUCAUAACUAACUCAAUCACAUUCAUACAUAAUCUCAAAUCCUAACACUUAGCACUGAUAACGCAAUCGCUACAACAUCAUUAGUUUCGAAAUAGUAUUGCAAGCAAACAUGUUAUCACCAAAUUCCAAAACAUAACACUUAACAUUUAUAACACAAUUAAUACAACAUCAUGGGUUUCAAAAUGGUAUAGCAAUCCAACAUGUUAUCACCAAAUUCCAAAACAUAACACUUAACAUUUAUAACACAAUCAAUACAACAUCAUGGGUUUCAAAAUGGUAUAGCAAUCCAACAUGUUAUCACCAAAUUCCAAAACAUAACACUUAUAACACAAUUACUACACAUACCAAAUGAACCAACAAUUCACAAUUUAACAGGGUGUAGUCUCUCACGGACAAACACCUGUGCAGUCUCUCACGGACAAACACAAUUCCCUCAGGAACGUAACUCGUAAACGUACCACCUAUCACGGGUCAGUACUGUUUACCGAGGUGCCACCUAUCCCGGGUCUGCACAACUUACCAAACGUAAAUCGUAAACGUACUGUCUAUCACGGACCCGUACCGUUUACCAAGGUGCCACCUAUCACGGGUCUGCACGAUUUACCAAAACAUACAUAAGUAAACGAGACAUUAAGAGAUUCCCCAUUCUUAAUUCUCAUCUAACUUAAACCAGGGCGUAGUCUCUCACGGACAAACCCCUGCGCAGUCUCUCACGGACAAACGCAAUUCCCGCAGGAACGUAAAUUGUAAACGUACUACCUAUCCCGGGUCCGUACUGUUUACCGAGGUGCCACCUAUCCCGGGUCAGCACAACUUACCAAAACAUACACGAGUAAACGAGACAUUAAGAGAUUCCCCAUUCUUAAUUCUCAUCUAACUUAAACCAGGGCGUAGUCUCUCACGGACAAACCCCUGCGCAGUCUCUCACGGACAAACGCAAUUCCCGCAGGAACGUAAGUCGUAAACGUACUACCUAUCACGGGUCCGUACCGUUUACCGAGGUGCCACCUAUCCCGGGUCUGCACAACUUACCAAACACAAUUCCCUCAGGAACGUAAGUCGUAAACGUACUACCUAUCACGGGUCCGUACUGUUUACCGAGGUGCCACCUAUCCCGGGUCUGCACAACUUACCAAACACAAUUCCCUCAGGAACGUAAGUCGUAAACGUACUACCUAUCACGGGUCCGUACCGUUUACCGAGGUGCCACCUAUCCCGGGUCAGCACAACUUACCAAAACAUACACGAGUAAACGAGACAUUAAGAGAUUCCCCAUUCUUAAUUCUCAUCUAACUUAAACCAGGGCGUAGUCUCUCACGGACAAACCCCUACGCAGUCUCUCACGGACAAACGCAAUUCCCGCAGGAACGUAAGUCGUAAACGUACUACCUAUCACGGGUCCGUACCGUUUACCGAGGUGCCACCUAUCCCGGGUCAGCACAACUUACCAAAACAUACACGAGUAAACAAGACAUUAAGAGAUUCCCCAUUCUUAACGCCCAGUUAACUUAAACAAUUUUCCAAACAAAAUAAUAAGUAACCGAGACAUUAAGAGAUUCCCCAUUCUUAACGCCCAGUUAACUUAAACGGUUUUCAAAACAAAAUGUUAAGUAACCGAGACAUUAAGAGAUUCCCCAUUCUUAACGCCCAGUUAACUUAAACAAUUUUCCAAACAAAAUAACAAGUAACCGAGACAUUAAGAGAUUCCCCAUUCUCAACGCCCAGUUAACUUAAACAAUUUUCAAAACAAAAUAAUAAGUAACCGAGACAUUAAGAGAUUCCCCAUUCUUAACGCCCAGUUAACUUAAACGAUUUUCAAAACAAAAUAUUAAGUAACCGAGACAUUAAGAGAUUCCCCAUUCUCAACGCCCAGUUAACUUAAACAAUUUUCCAAACAAAAUAAUAAGUAACCGAGACAUUAAGAGAUUCCCCAUUCUUAACGCCCAGUUAACUUAAACGAUUUUUCUUUAAAACAAAAUAUUAAGUAACCGAGACAUUAAGAGAUUCCCCAUUCUUAACGCCCAGUUAACUUAAACGAUUUUUCUUUAAAACAAAAUAUUAAGUAACCGAGACAUUAAGAGAUUCCCCAUUCUUAACGCCCAGUUAACUUAAACGAUUUUCAAAACAAAAUAUUAAGUAACCGAGACAUUAAGAGAUUCCCCAUUCUUAACGCCCAGUUAACUUAAACGAUUUUCAAAACAAAAUAUUAAGUAACCGAGACAUUAAGAGAUUCCCCAUUCUUAACGCCCAGUUAACUUAAACGAUUUUCAAAACAAAAUAUUAAGUAACCGAGACAUUAAGAGAUUCCCCAUUCUUAACGCCCAGUUAACUUAAACGAUUUUUCUUUAAAACAAAAUAUUAAGUAACCGAGACAUUAAGAGAUUCCCCAUUCUUAACGCCCAGUUAACUUAAACGAUUUUUCUUUAAAACAAAAUAUUAAGUAACCGAGACAUUAAGAGAUUCCCCAUUCUUAAUACUCAUUUAACUUAAUGGUUUUCAAAUUCCACACAAAAAAACUCAAACAAAUUCUCACAUUCAAUUCAUAAUUCACACCAAAACACAUCAAUCAACAAACAUCAAGUAUGAACAUGCCAAAUACGAUGAACACAAAUCAACAUAAUAAAUUUCAUUUAUUCAAAAUCUUACAUACAUGAGGUAAAAUCAUUUUUCCCAAAACAAUACUCCAAUCCUAACACAAUUCGUUUCCACACAACCACAGAUAAGGCCCUAGAUGCAAACUAAAAGUUUGGAAGGAGCCCUUACCUUAACGUUAGCUCAAACGUGCGUUUCCGGUACCGUGAGUAAAUCCGGUAAAUUUUCCGCUCGCAACACCGCUUCCAAAACUGGUCCACUAGCGCCGUAGCACGGUAGUGAGCAACUUUCCCUUCUAACUCUUCGCGAAAUGAAGCUUGGAUCUAGAAGAAACGAAGGGGUUUGUGUUUGAAUCUCAAAUACCGUUUUUCUUCGUUUUCGGAUCAAAGAGGAAGAGUGGAGUUGCGAAACCUUUGUUCUAACACUCACCCAACCUUGGGUUACUAGUCUUGAAGAAAAGAAAGCAACGAAAAUGAAAAUGGGAGAAGGAGGGAAAAUGGGUCGCGCACGCAGGGAGAGGAAGAAGAUGAAGUUUUGGAUUUUCUUUCCUUCCUUUUUCCUUUCUUUGUUUUUCCUUCCUUUCUAUUUCCUUCUUUCCUUUAUAUAACCUUUUCUCUUCCUUUUCCUUCCUUCUAAUUUUCUUUCUUUCUAUUCUCUCCAAACAGUUUAUGCAAAUCUACCUUAUGAUAUUUUCUCAUGUUCCUUGGAGGAUGUGGAAUUUCUUGAGGUAGUCCAAAUUGUAGUUUCACUCUAUUAGUUUGAUGCAUUUCUAUUAGGUAGAAACAAAUUAAAUAUGUAGAUGCAUUCCAUAGGCAAUUGUCUUCUGGAUGAUCGUAUGUUAGACCUAGAUAUGGCCUCCAAAUAAACUGAUAUAUAACAAGUUUGUUAGUAAUAUAUGCAUAAGAAAAGUAAAAUAAUAAAAAUAAUGUAAUGUUUUAAUAUAUUACAUCGUUAACGGUCAUGUGAUCAAUUUUUUAUAGAUAUCCAGCGGUAUGAUAACGAGGUGUAUCGCCAAAUUUCAUACCCUUUCCACUAUAUCUACGAAAAUAAAUUUGAAUGUUAGUAAAUAAAUUAAUAUAUUUAUAAAUAUAAUAUUUAACUUUUUUUUAUAUUAACCUUUUUGAGAAUGGAAAAUGAGGCUCAAAAUUACUUAUUGGUGCAAGAAACGGCAUAUGGUACCAUGCCCACGUUUGAAGUAGAUGUGAACAUCCCCGAUCGACAUAACACCGGGUUCAGAUGCACGACACAAUUCUCUAUAAAGUGUUGCCAAGCAUGCUGAACCCCAACUAUAUUGUCCUGUCUCUCGCAAAUCUCUCAACAAGUGCAACCACAUAAUAUGUACUCUGUUGUGAGAUUUGUAAGGCAUUAAUAUGCCGCCAAUCAAUUCUAAAAUGCAUGCUCUACAAUGUGACUUAGAGUUUCUGAGUUUUAUUAUUAUGUAUUUUCUUCAAAGAACACUUACAGGUUUUCUCUGUAUUUCUAGUUUAAGGCUUGGAUACUCAUUAUGGUUUGUUUAAGGUGUUCUGGCUUGGAUACUCACAAUUUUUUUUCAACUGUGAUUAAAAUUUAAUUUUAAUUACAUUGCAUCUAAUCUUAAUAAUUUGGUUUCUAAUUUAAAAUGUAUUCUAUGUGCAGGUUUAUGGCUGAAAUUAAUUUUAUUUGUGAGUUGAAGUGAUAUGGAGUACCAUUGAAGGCUUAAAUCUUGUUAUGUUGAUUUAUGGUCUCAUAAAUUAAUUUUACAUCUUUUUGAUUAUUAAACUCCAAAAUAUUAUUAACUUUGGCUUAAAAACCUCCGAGCCAAAAUCCAAAAUACACCAAAAAUACAUAAAUGGUACUUUAAAAUUAUGGGUCUUACAUUACUCCCCCCCUAAAAUUAGUUUCGUCCUCGAAACUAUGCAUCGAUAAAUAACUCUGGGUGUUGUUCUCUCAUCUUGCUCUCCAAUUCCCAAGUCGCAUCUCCAGUGAUUGGGUUCCAAAUAACCUUGACCAACGAAACAUCCUUGGUCCUCAACCGCUUAAUCUUCCUAUCAUCAAUUCUCACGGGUGGUACUUCGAACGACAGGUUAUCCUUUAGCUGGAUUGCGUCUGGUUCGAUCACGUGAGAUGGAUCUGCGAGAUAUUUCCUCAACUGUGACACAUGAAACACGUCAUGAAUAUUGGACAGUAUCGGAGGUAAUGCAAUGCGAUAAGCCACCGGCCCAAUUCGUGCAGAAAUCUGAUAUGGUCCAAUGAAUUUCGGAGUCAACUUCUUCGAUUUCAAGGCUCUACCUACUCCAGUAGUAGGUGUGACUCUCAGAAAUACAUGGUCACCCUGUUCGAAUUCCAAAAGUCUGCGACGCUUGUCCACGUAACUCUUCUGACGAUCUUGUGAAGUCUUCAUUUUCUCCUUGAUCUUCCUUACUUUAAUUGUGGUAUGUUGCACCAUCUCUGGUCCGACAAUCAUAUUCUCACCGUCUUUAUACCAACACAAGGGCGUUUGACACUUGCGCCCAUAUAAAGCUUCAUAUGGUGCCAUUCCAAUACUUGCGUGGAAACUAUUGUUGUAAGUGAACUCAAUCAACGGAAGUACAUCAUCCCAGCUUCCCCUAUCAUCUAAUACACAUGCUCUCAACAGAUCUUCCAAGGACUGAUUCGUCCUUUCAGUCUGUCCGUCCGUUUGUGGAUGGUAAGCUGAACUCAAUCGUAGCUUCGUUCCCAACGCUUCGUGCAAUGCUCCCCAAAAAUGCGAUGUGAACUUCGGAUCACGGUCUGAUACAAUGCUCGAUGGUACCCCGUGUAACCUCACAAUUUCAGCAAUGUAGAUCUCCGUUAGCUGAUCUACCUUAUAGGUGGUCCUUACCGGCAAAAAGUGAGCAGAUUUAGUCAGCCGGUCCACUAUCACCCAUAUAGAAUCAUUCUUCCUCCUUGUCUUCGGUAAUCCGGUUAUAAAAUCCAUGGAAAUGCUGUCCCACUUCCAUUCAGGUAUAUCUAAAGGUUGCAACAUUCCAGCAGGUCGCUGAUGUUCCACCUUCGCUUUCUGACAAGUUAGACAAGUGGAUACAUAUUCCGCCACAUGUUUCUUCAUUCCUGGCCACCAAUAAUUCUGCCUCAAAUCCUGAUACAUCUUUGUUGCUCCAGGAUGAAUACUCAGCUUACUCUUAUGCGCCUCUUCUAAAAUCGUUUUCCGCAUAUCUGUAAUGGCUGGUACACAAAUCCUACCAUUACACCGCAAAACAUUAUCUGCCCCAAUCUUGAACUCAGUCGUCUUCCCUUGUACUAUUAGAUUCCUCUUCUCUUGAAUUAAGACGUCAUCCUGAGAAUUCGCAAUGUCUUCAAGUAAUCCACUCGAGAUCUUAAUCAUUCCGAAUUUCAAAAUUCCCGGUCCGAACUCUACGUUCAAGUGUAGGUCUCUAAAAGCCUCCUGGUUCGGGGAAAAGAACCAAUUUCCGAGCACAAUCCAAGAUCACAUAGUGAUAAGACAUCCAAUCCAUACCGAGGAUGACCUCGAGUGAUUGUAGCGGUAAACAAAUUAGAUUAACCAAGAAAUCCCUAUUCUGAAUAGUCAUUCGACAAUGUAAACAUGCUGAAUUUACGGUUAAGGUCUUAGCAGGCGUGGAAACAACCAAAUCAAAAGGUAAAGCAGACACAGAUAACUUCAAGCGAUUCACACAGUCCAUAGCAAUGAAGGAAUGGGUUGCCCCCGAAUCAAAGAGUGCAGUUAGAGUGUUACCUGCAAUCUCACAAUCACGCUGAAUCAGAUUACCAGAUGGAUUUCCCUCUUCAGCAUUCACACAAUAAAUGCGUCCUCUAGCAGUAGGACGGGUAGCCCUAGCUACAUUCACCACUGGUUCCACCUUUGGAGCCGUGCACUCCCUUGCCAUGUGCCCCGACUUCUGACAAUUGUGACAGAUGGGGAUGUUAGUGGUACAAGCACUAGCAUAGUGUCCUUCUUUCCCACAUCGGAAACAUCGAAGCACUUGCCCCAUUUGCCUUCCGAAAUUCUGGUUCCCUGGGCGACUCGGUCCACCGUUGUUAUUCUGGGGGCGAUUAUAAGGUUUAGCCACUUGUUUUCCCCUAUUCUGAUAAGUCGCCCGACUAGGGCCUCCCGAAUUAAAAUUCCCAACUCGGCUAGCCCUCUUGUUCUUCAUAUCUUCCACUUCUCUACAUUUCUCUACCAGCGCUUGGAAACGUUGAAUUCCCAAAGGUAAGACGGAAUCUUGAAUCUCAUACUUCAAUCCGUCUUGGAAACGAUGACACAUGAACGGUUCAUCAAUUUCUUCACGGAAGAACCUGAAAUGCCUCGAUAGUGAUUCAAAUUUAGCAGCAUACUCGCCCACAGUCAGGCUCCCCUGGUGAAGUUUCAGAAAGUCGUCACCCAACUUAGUCCUGGUACUCAUCGGAAAGUAUUUGUCUAAAAACUUUCUUUUGAACGAUUCCCAGUUCACCUCCUCGUGGGCUGCUCCCAUCAACAACCUUGCACUCCUCCACCAGUAUUCAGCAUCCCCUAGCAACAUAUACGUGGCAUAGCUGACCUUCACUCCAGCCUGGCAGUUAAUCAUAUCAAAGAUUUUCUCCACUUCUUGGAUCCAUUGAUCCGCCUUCUCUGAACCCUCAUCCCCCUUGAACUUAGGAGGAUUGUAACGACGGAAGUCUUCCAACCCUCUUGAUUCUGCAGCACGGAUCUCUCUUCCCCUCUUUUCAAGAUCCCGUUGAGUCUUGGCAGCGGUCUGUGCAGCGACAGAAGCAGCCAUGUUGUUCAUAGCCUCCGCCAUUUGGUCAUUCCUAGCGUUGGCUCUCGGAGCGUCAUUCCUUCUGGGCGGCAUGGUUUCCUAUAAGAACCAUCAUCAAGUAGAGUUUUAACACUACUUCAAAUAAUUCUAAACUAACGUCCGACUAACAACACACAAUUAAAUUGGACUUGACAACUCAAGUCACCUAAACCGACACAUGAUCAGAUAACAACUCCUAACUUAUAGGUCGACCUACAAUCUAUAACCAAGGUUCCACAGCUCCCAAAGAAAACUAAACCUAUGCUCUGAUACCACAAUGUAACACCCCGUUUUUCAAAGCGAGGGUAUAUUUUUUUUUUUCUAAAAGUAAUUAAAACGAACAAAGAAUAAAUCAGGAAAUGCUUUUGGAUAAAUAAUUGAGUCAUUAUAAUUUACGCAGCGGAAAAGUUUCUCCAAUUAUAAAUCCAAAACAUUUUUACAUAAACAUCAAAUGGUACAUGGGACCCAUUCAAAGAUGAUAUAAAACUGAUAAUAUUUGUAUAAGUACAGUUUUCCAAAACUAAAAUACUCCAAACCAAAAAGAAGGACCCCUAGUCCCUAUACAUCAUCCUAAUCUGAUCAUCCUACCAAAAACUAUACACCCUGAGUAAUCUCCACGCGCCCCGUGAGAUCCUCCUAACACAACAGCAGUCAAGCGUUCCCAUCUCCAUCCCUGUCCGUAGGGUACGAACCAGUAGGGCCGUCCUGACUCUCAUCUGAGGGCAAAGCCCAGAUUUCCACAAUAGUGUAAAGGGUCACCAACCAGAAAAUAACAGUUAACACAUAGCAAUUAAGUUUUUGAAUGCUCAAAACAACUUUUUAACUAAGCAUGCACCUUAACAGGAUUUUCAAUGUGCGAAAAGUUCAUACAUUACAUUGCCAAUGAAAAUGAAGGUAAAAUGCAGUUCUCGAUCUCCUAAUUAACACAUGGUAAAACAAAACAUGGAUAGAUUCAUGAGCAAUUAAUCAUACAACUAAAAAUGAGGAUUUUCACUGAGCCAAUCGAUUGGGCAAUCGAUUGGGGUGAAGAUUUUUAAUGAAAACAGAAUCCUGGGCUGAAUUCAAUCGAUUGGUAAAUCGAUUGAUUGGUUCCUGAGCCCCUGGUUUCGAGCCAAUCGAUUUCCUAAUCGAUUUGGUGAGGGAUUCUUAAUGAAAACAGAAUCCUGGGCUGAAUUCAAUCGAUUGGUAAAUCGAUUGAUUGGUUCCUGAGCCCCUGACUUAAGGCCUAAUCGAUUGGGCAAUCGAUUUCUUAACUGAUUCCUUUGAAAAUUGUUUUCGAAAUCGAUUGGCUAAUCGAUUUUGUUCAUUUGGCCAAGCCCCUGACUUCCAUCCAAUCGAUUGGGAAAUCGAUUUCCCUGAUCAGUUUUCCAAAAAUUCAUGAAUUAACCUAAGUCAUUCCUAAUCAAGUUCACCACUUAACACUUAGCAAUUUCUACGCGAUUACUACGACACACAAAGGUUCGAUAACCAUCAUACUCACACACAAUACACAACACAUAGCACUUAACACCUUCAUCUCAGUUAUCACGAUAAAUCAAAAUUCGAAUCACUCAAUCAUAAACUCAAAUCAAACAUGACUCGCGUGCCAGGCACCCUAAUGCAAUGCGUAUAUGCCAAAAUGCAUGGACUCGGAAUUCCAAACCAAAACCCUCCUCGAAGGGCCGUAAAUCAUAAUUGUACCGCCUAUCGCAGGCCAAAGUACCAAUUACCGAGGUGCCACCUAUCACGGGUCAGCACGAUUUACUAAAAUGCGUAAAUCAUAAACGUACCACCUAUCACGGGUCAGUACAGUUUACCGAGGUGUCACCUAUCACGGGUCAACACGAUUUACUAAAAGAAAAAGCGGGAAUCGUAAAUGUACCACCUAUCACGGGUCAGUACAGUUACCAUGGUGUCACCUAUCACGGGUCAACACGAUUUACUAAAAGAAAAAGCGGGAAUCGUAAAUGUACCACCUAUCACGGGUCAGUACAGUUUACCAAGGUGUCACCUAUCACGGGUCAACACGAUUUACUAAAAUGUAAAUCGCAAACGUACAACCUAUCACGGGUCCGUACAGUUUACCAAGGUGUCACCUAUCACGGGUCAACACGAUUUACUAAAAUGUAAAUCGCAAACGUACAACCUAUCACGGGUCCGUACAGUUUACCAAGGUGUCACCUAUCACGGGUCGACACAAUUUACCAAAUGAAAUGCAUGAGCAUACACAGACUCCAUUCACAACAAUCGUUAAGCAAAUGCAGAUAUUAAAAGAUUCCCCAUUUUUAAUACCCAUUUAACUUAAACGACUUUCAAACAACAUUAAUUAAAUAAGUCAUUAAGAGAUUCCCCGUUCUUAAUACCGAUUUAUCUUAAUGAUUUUCAAAACAAAACGUUAAGCAAACAGUCAUAUUAAGAGAUUCCCCAUUCUUAAUAUACUUUUGACUUAAACGAUUUUCACACAAAAUAUUCAGUAAACGAGUCAUUAAGAGAUUCCCCAUUCUUAACACUCAUUUACCGGAACGAUUUUCAAAAACGAUCGUUAAGUAACCGGGACAUUAAGAGAUUCCCCAUUCUCAACGCCCAGUUAACUUAAACCUUUUCCUCAAAUGCACAUUAAGUAAACCGAGGUAUUAAAAGAUUCCCCAUUUUUAAUACUCGUUUAACUCUAAUGGUUUUCAAAUUCCACGGAAACAAACUCAAACAUACUCUCACAUUCAAACCAUAAUUCACAACAACCACACCAAUUAACAAACAUCAAGUAUGGACACGCCAAAUACAACGAACACAAAUCAAAGCCAACAUAACACCCAGAUACAUCAAAUUUCAUUUACCCAUAAUCAUACACAAUGACAUUCAAAUUCAUUUACCACGAAACAUUCAUCACUAUAAACAAAACCUAACUCUAAGGUUUUUACCCAUAACGCACUAGUUUCGUUUUUCCCCAAAUCGAUACAUUUAACCCUAACAAAUUCCUUCCCACACAACCACAGAUAAGUCCCUAAUGCAACUAGAAGUUUGGAAGGUGCCCUUACCUCAAUGUUAGCUUUAUCGUGCGUUUCCGGUACCGCGAGUAAUUCCGGUAAAAUCUCCGCUCGCAACGCCGCUUCCAAAUUAGUUCCCUAGCACCGUAGCGUGGUGGUGAGCAACUUUCCCUUCUAUCUCUUCGAGAAAUGAGGUUUGGAUCUAGGAGAAACGGAGGGGUUUGUGUUUGGAUCUCAAAAACCGUUUUUCUUCGUUUUCGAAUCAAAGAGGAAGAGUGGAGUUGCGAAAACCUUGAUCUAACUCUCACCCAACCUUGGGUUACUAGUUUUGAAGAAAAGAAAGCGACGAAAAUGAAAACGGGAGAAAGUAGAAAAAUAGGUCACGGUUAGAGGAAGAAGAUGGAAUUUUUCGUUUUCCUUCCUUUCUUUUUCUUUCCUUUGUUUUUCCUUUCUUCCUUUUUCCUUCCUUCCUUUUAUACUAUUUUCUUUUCCUUUUCCUUCCUUCUAGUUUUCCUUUCUUCUAGUUUUCCUUUCUUUUUCCCUCCAAACAAACAUAAAUAGAUAAUAAAUAUAACUUAACAAAUAUCUCAAAAUACCUAGACAUUUGUUAAAUUACCGUUUCACCCGAAACGCAUUAAAUUCUCCGUAAAGGAUUCACCGCACUUAAUUUAAAUUUAUUUAUCGACGAGAAAUUUUAAUUGGCAUCAAAACAUCUUUUUGAUUAUUAAACUCCAAAAUAUUAUUAACUUUGGCUUAAAAACCUCCGAGCCAAAAUCCAAAAUACACCAAAAACACAUAAAUGGUACUUUAAAAUUAUGGGUCUUACAGCCUACAUCAGGUCUAUGUCAGAUCAGGCUUUCUUUUUAAACAGAGAAGGUCAAGGCUUCUAAAAAAGCCUAUUUAAUUAAAAAGGUUUGGCUAUAGGCCACAUAAUAAACCUUUUACGCCGACCUAUUUAAAUAAAUAUAAAUAAUAUUUUUUUACCACUAUGAUUAUUAUAUUAAAUUUUGAUAUUUGUGUUAUAUAUAUUCAACUUUUAGUAAUUUACACAUAUUAACCUUAUUUAGUUUUUGGCAUAUUUAAAUGUAUUAUUAUAAAAUAUAAUUUAAGCAGGAUGUAUAUAUAGUCACAUUCUUCAAAAUGUGAUGUUAAAUAUCAAAAUAGAACUUAAUUUCAUUGACAUAUUAACUCAUUAAUCUAUUUAAAUAUAUGUUUGAUUACUUAUUCAAAAAUAUUAAAAUGAAAUAAGCAUUUAAGUAGGCUAAGAGACCAUAUCAGACUUCUAUCAAGGUCAGACUAAGGCCUAAAAAGUAAGCCUAUGACAGGACACACGCCAAGCGUAGGGCUUGAAUUUUUUGACAUGUCAGGCUUAUGCUUAGCAAAGCCUAACUCGACCCAGCCUAUUCCCACCCCUACUUGUACUAGUUCCAGUGAAGAGGCCAUAGAGCAAAAGCUUAAGCCAUUAUCCUUUCUCAUUUCAAAGUUAUUAUUUGGGAGGGGAGAAGCUCUCAACCAUGAUUCAUAUGAAAAAAUCUUUUUCUUCAAUCACUUCAAAACCUUCCCCAUCAUUUGUCACAGUUUCAUCACAGUCCCGGAGUUGGUGCCCAAUUCUCCCACAUAAAAAAAUCAGAAAUUGGGUCUGAUGUUUAGGUCUGAAGACUAGGUCUAAAGAUUGCCUCUAAAGAAUGGCUCUAAAACUGAGUCUAAAAACUGCCUCUGAAGAUUGAAUUUAAAGCAUGCCUCUAAAGCUCUUGCAUAUCUCUGAUGUACACAAACUUAGCAUAUACCUAAAGAGUUCAUAUCAAGGUAUAAUUAACUCUGAAGAUAUUAUUCAAAUCAUAAAGUCAAAGUUCACAAUCCGCUGAUCAAAAUGGUGCAACACACUCCAAAUGCUGCCUCUGAUAAGCAGCCUCUAAUGUUGCACCGACUCUGAAGUUUCAACAAGGUGAUUUUCCUAAUGUCACUAACUCUAAGUCAUGCAAUUCUACCUUUGAGUAUCUUUAUUCAAGAAACACGACAUCUAACUCAAACAAGAGAGUCAGUGCCUAUGCUGAAAAGUCAACGACUGAAAUUGAAAUAAUUAAGUAUGAAAAAAAAAAAUUAGCCGACUCCAAAACUUGUGAAUAUCCAAGAACAACCCGAAUCCAUUUCAGCUCAAAUCAAGAAAGAGUAUGAAAGAAGACUCGUGUUUUGAAAGACAAUCUAAAAUAAUAUUUGAUUUAGAUUUAUAAUUGAAGAAAAUAUUUGACCAAGUUGAAAAGAAUAUAUGAUAAAGAUUUGAAGAUGAUAUGAUUCAUAUCUUAUCAACAAAAGAUAUGAAUUAUUUACAAGAACAUUUGAUCAAGAUUUAUCACAAGAAGAUAUGAAUUAUUUAAAAGAAGAUCUGAUCAAGAUUUAUCACAAGAAGAUAUAAAUUAUUUACAGUAAUAUUUUAUCAAAAUUUAUCUACAAGAAGAUAUGAAUUAUUUACAAGAAGAUUUGAUCAAGAUUUAUCUACUAGAAGAUAUGAAUUAUUUACAAGAAGAGUUUAUCAUAAUCUACAAGAAUAUUUGAAUUAUUUACAAGAAGAUAUGAUCAAAAAUUAUUUAGAAAAAGAAACACUCAUAUAUAUUUGGCUUAAUUGCAGUUUUGGUCCCCCUAUUUUAGCUAAAUCGCGAAAGUAGUCCCUCCAUUUUGUUUCUCCCCAGUUUUGGUCCCCCAAACAGAAUUUUGGUCCAAAACUUGAUGAAAUUUCAUUUUUUUAAAGCCGUACUAUAUCAUUUAUGAUCAUAGAUAUCAUAUACAAUUGUUGCAAAUGAGAUCUUGAGGCAUGGUGUGACUUAAAUAAAUACAAAAAAAAAAUGAAAUUUCAUCAAAUUUUGGACCAAAAUUAUGUUUGAGGGACCAAAACUGGGGAGAAAUAAAAUGGGGGGACUACUUUCGCGAUUUAGCUAAAAUAGGGGGGACCAAAACUGCAAUUAAGCCUAUAUAUUUUUAUUAUUUGCAAAGAUAUGAUUCAAAUUUUGCAAAGACGGAUGAAAACCUCUAACUUAUUUUAUAAAUAGAUACACAAGGCUGAAGAACAAAAUAAGAUAACUUACGAGCACAAAAUUUACUAAGUCAUUAGAGUUCAUAAAGUUAAGAUCUAGAGAAACAUUUGCUCAAAAGAUAUAUUUUCUAAGUGUUUUCUAGUGUGAGAGUAAUUGUUACAACCAACUUGUUAGAAGCAAACAAAUUUGUUCCCAACUCUUGUAACCAUGUCUGAAUUUUGUGUUCCUCGAGAAAUUUGUAGAUUUUCAAGUUGUGAUGAGAAAAUUUGGUUUGUAGAAUCAAAGUGUUUGUUUUUCGUAGGUGACAAAUUAUUUUGAGAAUAUUGAUUUGUAGAGUCAGGUGUUGUGUAAUUCAAGUUUUGAAUUAGUGGAUUAAAUCAUGAAAGGACUAAACGUAGCUACUAAAUUGGUGGUGAAUCAGGAUAAAUUAUUGUAUCACUUUAAUUAUGUAAUUUUUGUUUUAUUUUUGUCUCUCAUCACUUAACUCAAUUGCUACUACUUUUAUUUUAAGUCACCAAACUCGAGUCAAUUUUAAAUAAAUUAACAAAAACAAUCAAACUUAGUCAAAACCAAUUCAAUUCUCUUUUCAUAUUUGCAGCUUUAGUAACCUUUGGAUCUGCUGCCUCAAAUUCUCCCAUGAUUGCCCCCAGUUUUUUUGCCAUGAACUCACUACGGAGUUUCAAGGGAAGGUCGCACACUCUUGUCCAGAAUGAGAUCGAACUCGUAUCCAUUUCAGACUACGAUGUUACGAUCAAAACUCCAUGGACCAGCCUUAAUCACAUUUUCUAAAUCUCGUAUUGAAAAAAAAACAAAAGAGAUACAGGUUCUUACCGAGUUCCUGAGUCUCUAUUAGGUUCUUAGGUCUCCAAAAUUCCACAAUCUUAGUUUUGAAAUCUCAGACAUUAUAACUGCUGUUAGUCCACAACUUUCCAACAGGGGAUCUUCUAAAGAAAUCCUCUUCCAUAUGUUCUUCAUCUUCCUCUGUAACCCCAAUCACGCCAUCUUCGAACCUAACAGCUUAAGACUCUUACGAAGACAAAAUUCAAAAUCCUGGAGAGCGCAGGGAGCUUCCAGGAUGAAACCUAGGGUAAGAUCCAAGAAAGGAAGUCUUUUUUAAUGUUGACUCUUGUUCAUUUAUAUAGCUUAUAUUUAAUUGCAAGUGAUAUCUUAAGUUUUUAGACUGUAACUAUCAUAUUGGUUAUUUGUACAUAGCUCUUUAUUUUCUAAUUUAUGGUGCCGUAUUUCAAAUUAGUAAGAAA
rnacentral:lncRNA from 1 species